rnacentral:tRNA from 1 species
AGCGGAGUGGCGCAGUGGAAGCGUGCUGGGCCCAUAACUCAACGCUCGAUGGAUCGAUACCAUUCUCUGCUA